GCAAACUUGGUCAUUUAGAGGAAGUAAAAGCCGUAACAAGGUUUCCGUAGGUGAACCUGCGGAAGGAUCAUUCAUAAUAAAGUGUUUUAUGGCACUUUUUAAAAAAUCCAUAUCCACCUUGUGUGCAAUGUUAGAAUCUCGUCAAUCUUGGCGAGGUUUUUUAUACAUCAACUCUUUUAACUAAUUUGUCUGAAAAAUAUUAUGAAUAACUUAAUUCAAAAUACAACUUUCAACAACCGAUCUCUUGGCUCUCGCAUCAAUGAAGAACGCAGC
rnacentral:misc_RNA from 1 species